CCACAUACGGAGGAGGAUGGUUGAACACAGGAGAGCUGAGGUGAAGAGAGGAGAGGAACAGGGUGAAGUUGGGGAAGGAAUCUCAGGAAGUGGAGGGAUAGUUUGAGACCAGUCUGGGCUUUGAUGGGUGGAAAGGGCAGCUUCAGGGACGAGGAGUAAGAUUGGUCUGUGAGUUUUGUCUGUUCUGUUUUAGCAGAAAGUAAUUUUGGUCACAGGGUUUCUUUUUUUUAUUUAAAUCUUUUACAACAAAAUGUUGUACAGUGUUUUUCUGUGGGUAAAUGUCUUAGUGAAACUGUUUUCUAUAGAUUCGGAUUUAGAUGCAGAUUUAGAAGCACAAAGUCCUUGUGCUUCUUUUAAAUUCAGUUUCCUUGAUUUGCAGCACCGUGUGAGCGAAAUCAGGUGUCAAACCAGUUGUUAGAUGUUUCUUCUCGGUUUUACGACAGCACAGCACACUCAGGCACAGCCCGACACUUCUGUCAGGUGAGGGGAAGCUGAGGUGUGACACAGGAAAGAAUCAGGAAAUUUGGCGGCCUGAUGGGCUAUCCUCUCUGAUGGCCAUUUGGUUUGACGUAGCAGUGGUCAGACUUAUCAAGGGAGUCACCACCAGAUAGAAAGCAGUUGUGUAGGAGAGUCUGCCUGAAACUCCAGCUACUCGCCAGAAGGAAACCACAAGAGGAGACACGACAGAGUUCAAUGAAGGUAAGGCUGAAGAGGACAUGAGGGCCUGACUGCUUGCAGAUGAUGUCCACCUUCUAUUUCCUCUCUUUCUCCUCUCUCUCUUUUCCCUCGUUUUCUGUGUCCUCUAUCCCCACCCCCCACCCCCACCACCUGUAACAUUCCCUCUCCCCCCUCCUCGCUGCAUGCCUCCCCUUGCUCCCUCUUGCUCUGCCUCUUGCAGCUGAAGCAACACGCCUUGCUGUGGCUGGUCAAACGGAACCAAGUCAGGUGUUUCUGUGAGGUUUGGUCCCCUUCAACCAGCUACUGCGUCGUGAAUUCAGUCAGCAGACACCAGCGUGGAGUCAAAGACACAGUGGCGUUGUGGUGUAAUGCUGCAUACUCUGGAGGUGGUAGUCAACUGUAGAUUGUUUCUUUUCUUUGUUGGUAUUGGUUGUUUCCCGUGUGGCGAUGUGUGUUUCAAAAAGCAAAUAAAAGAUUACUGACAACA